UUGCAACGUUCAGACGAGAGUUCUUUCUCCCACCCUGGACAUUAUAACACCUCCCAACUAAGGAUUCCCCCAGGGCAGGAAGCAGCCAGGCUUCGAAGCUGCGAGGCUUUUCAAUGCUAAUCUAGGUGAUGCACUGCAAUGUUCAGACAAGAGUUCUUUCUCCCACCCUGGAGUGGACAUCAUUCCACAGAUAUAUCAACCUCACUUGUGCCUAGUUUCCAACAGAGCUCACAUAAGCCCCACUUGUCUAGUUUCCAACAGACCUCACAACCUCUGGGGAUGCCUGCCAUAGAUGUGGGUGAAACGUCAGGAGGGAAUGCUUCUGGGAUGUGAGCAUACAGCCCGGAAAACUCACAGCAGUCCUCCCAUGCUUUCUUUCUAUGGACACAUACCUGCAGAGGGAAUUCUCUCUUCCCAAAACACUCUCUCCCUCUCCUCUCCUCUCCUUUCUCUCUUGCCUCCUUCACUCUCCCUUUCUUUGCUACAAACUCUCUGGCUUGCUGUGUACGUGUGUGUGUGUGUGUGUGUGUCUCCCACACACAAGCACACUCCCUCUCCUCCUCUUCCUCCCCAUCGCACCCUUUCUCCUUCCCUUUCUCUCUCUCGGGCGGAAGGCAGACGGAGAAAAGCACCCACGGAUCUUGGAGAAGCUUCCGAGGCGAGCUCGUUUCAGGAUCUCAGUCUGCCCGGCUCUCCUCGCCCCAAACAUUUUCAUCAACCCGGUCCCAUGGAAGAAGAGGAAGAAGGGGACAGACCCAUAGGGACGGUUCUUGACCCACAGAAAGGAAAGAAAGCAAGCAAGGAAAGAAAAGAAGUGCCAGCCAGGCUGAAUGAACGCCUAGCCUCAAUCAUUAUCUCUGCAGAGUGAGGCGAGAGGAGAAUCGGGCUUGUUUGGAUAGCCUUUAGUUGGAAAGCAAGGGGUCUCGGAGGGGCUCCUGUUAAUCCGACACCUGCUCCAGGGGGAAAGGGAAGCCCAGCUUCUCCCUCGGGGUCUCUUCUCUGCCUCAAAAGGAAAACAUCCCAAGAAGAAGAAAGACUUCCAAGGAGCCUGAGCGGCUUGCGGUGCGUGGCGGUGGAUCUGAAUUCCUUGGUUUUGGGCAGAUGGGUCGGGAAAGGGAGAAGGAAGAAAGGCAGCAAGUAGUGGUGCUCCUGGUCUGAAGCACACGCCAGAGAAGAGAGUUAGGGCAUCCACACGAGUCAGAUCCGCUCAUAGGAAAAGGCAUAGAAAUUACAUCUAGAUGAGAGAGGGAAAUAAAUGCAAGGGAAGCCACCCUUUGCUGCCACCAAUUAAUAAUUCCAUGUUUCCUGUGUUGUCGAAGGCUUUCAUGGCCGGGAUAUGUCUUUCGGGCUGUGUGGCCAUGUUCCAGAAGUAUUCUCUCUUGAUGUUUCGCCCACAUCUAUGGCAGGCAUCCUCAGAGGUUGUGAAGCAUGCCUGCCAUAGAUGUGGGCGAAACGUCAGGAGAAAAUACUUCUGGAACAUGGCCACACAGCCCGAAAGACAUACAACAACCCUAUGUUUCCUUGCUGCCCCCAAUUAAUAAUCAUGUACUUUUGCUGCCACCAUUUAUAACAUACAGUAGAGUCUCGCUUAUCCGACAUAAAUGGGCCAACAAUGUUGGAUAAGCAAAAACACUGGACAAUAAGGAGGGAUUAAGGAAAAGCCUAUUAAAAGUCAAACUAUAGUAUGAUUUUACAAAUUAAGCACCAACACAUCAUGUUUUGCAACAAAUCCACAGAAAAAGCAGUUCAAUACAUGGUCACGUUAUGUAGUAAUUACGGUACAGCAGAGUCUCACUUAUCCAACAUUCGCUUAUCCAACGUUCUGGAUUAUCCAACACAGUAGUCAAUAUUUUUGUAGUCAAUGUUUUCAAUAUACAGCAGAGUCUCACUUAUCCAACACUCGCUUAGCCAACGUUCUGGAUUAUCCAACGCAUUUUUGUAGUCAAUGUUUUCAAUAUAUCGUGAUAUUUUGGUGCUAAAUUAGUAAAUACAGUAAUUACUACAUAGCAUUACUGCAUAUUGAACUCCUUUUUCUGUCAAAUUUUUGGUAUAACAUGAUGUUUUGGUGCUUAAUUUGUAAAAUCAUAACCUAUUUUGAUGUUUAAUAGGCUUUUUCUUAAUCUCUCUGUAUUAUCCAACAUAUUCGCUUAUCCAACGUUCCGCCAGCCCAUUUAUUUUGGAUAAGUGAGACUCUACUGUAUUUACAAAUUUGGCAGUAAAACAUCACAAUGUAUUGAAAACAUUGACUGCAAAAACAUUGACUACUAAAAGGCAGACUGUGCUGGAUAAUACAGAACGCUGGACAAGUGAAGGUUGGAUAAGCAAGACUCUACGGUAUAUGUGCCACCGCUCUCCACUGCCAGCACGAGAGACCCAAAGAUGGUGGGAAACUCUGUCUUACAGAGCGAUAGUUAAAUAAGCAGACUGGCCACCUCUUUAUAAUGUUUCUCAGGAAGACACGCCAACACUUGGAGUGAAGUAAAACAGAAUAAUUAUGUUUAUUUGUACUUGAAUGGAAACGUUGCAUAUUGGUUCCAGUAAAAAUAACAGGCUUUGCUUUAACAGUGAAUGGUUCUUAAACAGGGGUUUCUUGAAAAAUAUUGUUCCCACACAAAGGAAUAUUAACAGGCUUUUCAAACCUUAGAGACCUCUUCCCAAAGGCUCCAAACUCAAGCACUCAAAACUCUUAGAGGCUCACUACAGUUCUUAGCACUUCUCCUUGAAGGCUAGUUGUUUAUUUAAUUAAUUACAGUAUUUCUAUUCCGCCCUUCUGACCCUGAAGGGCAAACAUUCAACACCAUUAGACAUACAACAUACAAAUAGAGACACAGAGACAAUUUAACAUUUUCCAACUUCCGGCUUCAUGAGGGUAUGCUCGAUUCCAGCCACAGGGGGAGCUGCUGCUUCAUCAUCCACUGUGACAGAGUCCUUGAAGGGGUACUUCCUCAUUCUUCCGCACACUGCUGGACAUUUUUAUGGUGAUGUGAAUUAGUUAAAUUAGCCUCCCCGCAUAAAGCAGCACCUAAAUUUCCUACUCGACAGAUGUGACUGUUUUUCGAGUUGCUUAGGUCAGCAACGAGCUAUGCUAUUUAAUGGUCGGGCGCUCAAUCCGCCCCAGGCUGGCUUCAAACUCAUGACCUCUCGGUCAGUAGUGAUUUAAUGCAGCUGGCUAUUAACAGCUGUGCCACAGCCCUCAAAGAGGUUUCUCUCAAACAGUCCCCAAAACCUUCCUUUCUUCCUCCUUAAAAUCCACUACCUACAUCUACAAACACCAAACCCUAUCUAACUACUUCUCUGGCUGAAUAGCUCCAACUGUCUCUAUGGCUCCGCCCAUGUUUGCCCAUGCCUGUGCCUGUUCUACAAUAUAGAUCAGUGGUUCUCAACCUUCCUAAUGCCACGACGCCUUAAUACAGUUCGUCAUCUUGUGGUGACCCCCAACCCUAAAAUUAUUUUCUCUGCUACUUCAUAACUUUCAUUUUGCUACUGUUAUGAUUCGUAAUCUAAAUAUCUGAUAUGCAGGAUGUAUUUUUAUUCACUGGACCAAAUUUGGCACAAAUACCCGAUACGUCCACAUUUGAAUACUGGUGGAGUUGGGAGGGGGAUUGGUUUUGUCAUUUGGGAGUUGUGGUUGCUGGGAUUUAUAGUUAACCUACAAUGAAAGAGCAUUCACCAGGUCAGGCUGCACAGAGAAGCCACUGAAAUCCAAAAGCAGGUGGAUAUUUUCAACAGAAAAGAGAAAACCAUGAAAAUGAACAAAAUCUGGCCACUAGUAUUAACAAAGUCUAAAAUCAGGACAGUAAAUAAAGAGCAACACUCAGAAGACAGGGGAAUGGGAGGUGUUAGCUGGCCCUGUUUGUUUCAUGUCUGGAAUCCCCCUGAUUUCAGAGUGUUGUUCUUUAUUUACUGUUCUGAUUAGAUGUGGGCGAAACGUCAGGAGAGAAUGCUUCUAGAACAUGGCCAGGAAAACUCACAGCAAUCCAUUGAUUCUGGCCAUGAAAGCCUUCAAUAACACAUUAAAUUAAUUUUAAUCUUAUCAGUGUUAAUUUCAGACCAGAUUUGAUGCAGUCAGUCCAGGCCUCCUAAGAAGCAAUAGGACCAGUAAUGAAAAGGGAAAUGUCCUAACCAGGCUUUUCCUGAAUUUCCUCAUGUUUUUGUUGUCACCAGUAUUUUAUAUUUCAAUUGAAUACAUGAAUAAAAAUGGAUGAUUUUGGGCCGUUAUUUUCUUUACUACUCCUACUUACUACAAAGGCCUGUGAUGAAAGAAAAAAUUAUCAAUAUUGUUGCUGUGUUUAAUGUAUUUAGGGAUCUGAUUUUUUUUAAAAAAAACACAAUAAAAAUGUCAUACCACACAAUGCUGUAACAAAUUUGUUAUUUUUUUAAUCAAUUCAGUUGUUACCCAGUUUAAGUGACGUUCCAUUGCAAUUUCUUUUAGUGCUUUUGAAUAGAUUUUUGUGUUUCAUAUCAGAAAAUUAAAGUCUUUUGAAAGUCUUUCACUCUCAUCUUACUGCAGUGUUUACUCCCUGAAGAAAUCUUAGUUACAUAUUGCAAAAUCAAAAGAUAAAAGCAAGUUGUGAAAAAAUAACUAAACCAGGCCUGAUCAAGCUUAGCUUCCAAGAUCGCAGGACCUGGUGCAUUCAAGGCUUAUUAGUGUCAUGCAUGUGUGUAUAUUCUCUUACACAAGCAGAAGCACUUAUUUGGUUGUAGCACAACAAGAACAUGGAUGUAUAAGUGGAGUUCCAUAAGGGUCGGGCUUUAGCACAGCUGGCUAAUCACCAGCAGCAAAAAAUCUCUACUGACUGAAAGGUUGGCAGUUCGAAGCCUGAGUCGGGGUGAGCACCCGUCCUUCAGCACAGCUCACUGUCCACCUAAGCAGUUCGAAAACAGCUAUGAGCUGUGAGUAGAUAAAUUAGGCACCACUUAAGUGGGGAAGCAUUUUGUCAGAGUUUUUUUUUAUCAUUUCUUAAGUGAAAAUGGGUAAGUGAUUGUAAGGAUCAUGACCAAUCACUGUAUGGCCAGCAACAAUCAAGCCACCUGCUAAAGAUGGAGUACUACUAAUAGAGACUAAGUACAUUAUGUUACUAAAGGUUGAAGCUUGAGGUUGGAGGUUGGAGAGAGUUUGGAGCUCGAGGUUGGAGAUUGCAUGCUGAGCUGGAGUUGCUGGAGCUGGUUUGUCCAAGUUGGAGCUGCCGGAGCAGUUGUUGCUGCAACAUCUAAAGAACAAGACUGUGGCAUCUUGCUGAAGAUAAGGACUUUAUUGUUUACAAAUCAUCGUGUGGAAGCAGCUGAAUAAUCCAAGGACUCUGCUGUAUUUGUAAAUAUCUUUAUAUAAAUCUUUUCUUGUUAAAGAGUCA